UACGUAGGGUGCAAGCGUUGUCCGGAAUUAUUGGGCGUAAAGAGCUCGUAGGCGGUUUGUCGCGUCUGCUGUGAAAACUCGGGGCUCAACUCCGAGCUUGCAGUGGGUACGGGCAGACUAGAGUGCGGUAGGGGAGACUGGAAUUCCUGGUGUAGCGGUGGAAUGCGCAGAUAUCAGGAGGAACACCGAUGGCGAAGGCAGGUCUCUGGGCCAUAACUGACGCUGAGAAGCGAAAGCAUGGGGAGCGAACAGG
rnacentral:rRNA from 1 species